AUUGAACGCUGGCGGCAGGCCUAACACAUGCAAGUCGAGCGAGUGGCGGACGGGUGAGUAAUGUCUGGGGAUCUGCCCGAUGGAGGGGGAUAACUACUGGACACGGUGGCUAAUACCGCAUACUAUCGGAUGUGCCCAGAUGGGAUUAGCUAGUAGGUGGGGUAAAGGCUCACCUAGGCGACGAUCCCUAGCUGGUCUGAGAGGAUGACCAGCCACACUGGAACUGAGACACGGUCCAGACUCCUACGGGAGGCAGCAGUGGGGAAUAUUGCACAAUGGGCGCAAGCCUGAUGCAGCCAUGCCGCGUGUAUGAAGAAGGCCUUCGGGUUGUAAAGUACUUUCAGCGGGGAGGCGUUACUCGCAGAAGAAGCACCGGCUAACUCCGUGCCAGCAGCCGCGGUAAUUC
rnacentral:rRNA from 1 species